rnacentral:rRNA from 1 species
AUGGAGUCUGGAGGAGUGAUUGCUGAAGCGGGCUGGGACUCGCUUGGCCUGACGUCGCAGGCUGAGGAGUCGGAGAUGAUGGAGCAGCUGCUUGGCACCUUCCCCUCCAACGGCGAGGAAGAACACCAGGAGCUACCUUGGUCUGUUCAGGCCACACAUGCAUACUAUGCCCACUGUAACGGUAGCUCUAAUGCAUACAGUUCCGCUAGUAGCAACAGUGUUGGUAGUCUCAUCCUUGAUGUGCCGUCGGAUUAUGGGGGCUUUUAUUUGGGCGACUCAAAUGGGAUCGGCUCCUGCACCGCCGCACUUGACCUGAACAUGGUUCAUGAGCAAGGUGCGGCUCAGUUUAUGGAUGCCAUCUUCAACCCUUCAUAUGGGAAUGGCGAUUCAAGCUGCGACAAUCUUGGAGACUCGAGCAUGAACUUGCUUGACUCCAUUGACACGUCCAACAAGAGAAAGCACCAGGAUCAAGGGAAAAUAGCUGACCAAACAAGUGGUCGGAAAUACUCAAGGAAGGCGGACUCGAAGCGGACAAAGAAGGCCAUGCAAUGUGAAGGCGACGAUGGCACCACUGCUGACACAAGCAAGCAAAGCUUGAGCUGCUGCACGUCUGAAAUUGACUCUAAUGCUUUUCAAGAGCCUCCUGUUGCCUCUAAGCCGAAGGGCAAGGCUCAGGCUGGCCGCCAGACAACCGAUCCCCAGAGCCUCUAUGCAAGGAAAAGAAGAGAAAAGAUCAAUGAGAGGCUGAAGGUACUACAGAACCUUGUUCCGAAUGGAACCAAAGUAGAUAUCAGCACUAUGCUUGAAGAGGCAGUGGAGUAUGUGAAGUUCUUGCAGCUUCAAAUCAAGCUCCUCAGCUCCGAUGAAAUGUGGAUGUAUGCGCCAAUUGCGUACAACGGGAUGAACAUUGGAAUCGACUUGAACCUCUCUCAGCACUGA